rnacentral:rRNA from 1 species
UACAGAGGGGGCAAGCGUUGUUCGGAAUUACUGGGCGUAAAGGGCGCGUAGGCGGCCCGCUAAGUCGAACGUGAAAUCCCCGGGCUCAACCCGGGAACUGCGUCCGAGACUGAAAGGCUUGAAUCCGGGAGAGGGAUGUGGAAUUCCAGGUGUAGCGGUGAAAUGCGUAGAUAUCUGGAGGAACAUCGGUGGCGAAGGCGGCAUCCUGGACCGGUAUUGACGCUGAGGCGCGAAAGCCAGGGGAGCAAACGGGG